UACGUAGGGUGCGAGCGUUGUCCGGAAUUAUUGGGCGUAAAGAGCUUGUAGGCGGUUUGUCGCGUCUGCUGUGAAAAUCCGGGGCUCAACCCCGGACUUGCAGUGGGUACGGGCAGACUAGAGUGUGGUAGGGGAGACUGGAAUUCCUGGUGUAGCGGUGAAAUGCGCAGAUAUCGGGAGGAACACCAGUAGCGAAGGCGACACUCUGGGCCGGUACUGACGCUGAGGAGCGAAAGCGUGGGGAGCGAACAGG
rnacentral:rRNA from 1 species